rnacentral:lncRNA from 1 species
GUUCAAGAAGCGUGUAGAUGCAGUACUAAGGGAUGUGGUUUAGUGGGGAAAUGGUGGUGGUAGGUGGAUGGUGGGACUGGAUGAUCUUGGAGGUCUUUUCCAACCUUGGUGAUAUUAUGAUUCUAUGAACUGAACUGGUGCUUGCCUCUUCAGGCACACUUAGGUGCAUCUGUAUCUGAAUAUCUGUGCUGCUGCCCUUCCCAAUAUAGGGCAGUGCCUGAGCUAUUGCUCUUUAAAUGACAGGGAUGCAUCCUUCCUUAACUUAUUCCUUCUGUGGAGGAGAAGUCUUCUGAGUCCAGAACUCCAAGCAGUGGUGAAUGCCUUGUGGAGAGACGCUGUGGGAAUAUGUUUGAAUCCCCUUCAGACCACGCUGUUCAGUACUGAGGCAUUUAUAACAGGAAGACUACCCAUGGGAAUGGUUCCAGUUCAUCUGAAAGUCUUUCAAAUGAGCUGUGGUGUCCUUGGUCUGACUUGGAUGUGUAGGAGGUGAACCACAGUGUCCUGAGACCACGUGGGAUCUCAGCCAUGGCACAACCAAAGCAAAUGUUGGGAUGGAAGUCAUCCGAUGCGUGAUGGUUCAGAUGGAUUCAAGUUAACGCAACGGUGUGAGGAGUGUGUUUAGAAAUUCCUCCAAAGCCGCUUAGUCAGUUCACACAGGACACAAUUUAGCUCAGGUGAGAGCAGUAUGGAAGUCUAAUUUUCCGUAUGGGCAUUGUUUCUCACACGAUGUAUUUUUAGCCCAGAGAAUGACUUACGUACCUGAAGUACCUGUUUCAGCACAGAGCCAAGUGCUUCACAAACCAGUGGCACGUGCUGGAACCCGUGGGUUAUGUACAAGACACACUGGGUAGAUUUGUUACUGCUGUAAUGGUUGGUGAAAGGGCAACACAGUCACUUCCACUGAGGAGAAUUAUUGUAAAUGAUAUUGUUUAUAAUACCAGACUUGAAUGAAAAUACGGUCUUUUUUCUCUUUUUUCUUUCUUUUCUCCCAAGUCAGAUCAUCUGUUAAGCUGGCCAUGACUAUAUUUUUCUCCUCAUUUUUUUACAUCAACGGAACUGAACACAGUAAAAAUUCUCCGUGGCCUUAAGAGAUCCAAUUUUUCACUUGACCUUUAUAAAAAGUCAAUUUGUGCUUUGUUUCUUUAACAUGAAAUCUAAAAUGCCCUCCAGUCACUUCC